GACGAACGCUGGCGGCGUGCUUAACACAUGCAAGUCGAACGGAAAGGCCCUGCUUUUGUGGGGUGCUCGAGUGGCGAACGGGUGAGUAACACGUGAGUAACCUGCCCUUGACUUUGGGAUAACUUCAGGAAACUGGGGCUAAUACCUGAUAGGAGCUCCUGCUGCAUGGUGGGGGUUGGAAAGUUUCGGCGGUUGGGGAUGGACUCGCGGCUUAUCAGCUUGUGGGUGGGGUAGUGGCUUACCAAGCCUUUGACGGGUAGCCGGCCUGAGAGGGUGACCGGCCACAUUGGGACUGAGAUACGGCCCAGACUCCUACGGGAGGCAGCAGUGGGGAAUAUUGCACAAUGGGCGGAAGCCUGAUGCAGCAACGCCGCGUGCGGGAUGACGGCCUUCGGGUUGUAAACCGCUUUCGCCUGUGACGAAGCGUGAGUGACGGUAAUGGGUAAAGAAGCACCGGCUAACUACGUG
rnacentral:rRNA from 1 species